rnacentral:rRNA from 1 species
AACGAACGCUGGCGGCAGGCUUAACACAUGCAAGUCGAGCGCCCCGCAAGGGGAGCGGCAGACGGGUGAGUAACGCGUGGGAAUCUACCCAUCUCUACGGAAUAACGCAUGGAAACGUGUGCUAAUACCGUAUACGUCCUUCGGGAGAAAGAUUUAUCGGAGAUGGAUGAGCCCGCGUUGGAUUAGCUAGUUGGUGGGGUAAAGGCCUACCAAGGCGACGAUCCAUAGCUGGUCUGAGAGGAUGAUCAGCCACACUGGGACUGAGACACGGCCCAGACUCCUACGGGAGGCAGCAGUGGGGAAUAUUGGACAAUGGGCGCAAGCCUGAUCCAGCCAUGCCGCGUGAGUGAUGAAGGCCCUAGGGUUGUAAAGCUCUUUCACCGGUGAAGAUAAUGACGGUAACCGGAGAAGAAGCCCCGGCUAACUUCGUGCCAGCCGCCGCCGUAA